rnacentral:misc_RNA from 1 species
GAUGAAGAACGCAGCGAAAUGCGAUACUUGGUGUGAAUUGCAGAAUCCCGUGAACCAUCGAGUCUUUGAACGCAAGUUGCGCCCGAAGCCAUCAGGUUGAGGGCACGUCUGCCUGGGCGUCACAUAUCGUUGCCCAAUGCCUAUUGCAGUGCAAUAGGAAUUUCUAGGGCGAAUGAUGGCUUCCCGUGAGCGUUGUUGCCUCGCGGUUGGUUGAAAAUCGAGUCCUUGGUAGGGUGUGCCAUGGUAGAUGGUGGUCGAGUUAGAACGAUACCGAUCAUGUGCAUGCUCCCCAAAAUAUGGCCUCUAUGACCCACACGCGUCUUUUGACGCUCAUGACGAGACCUCAGGUCAGGCGGGGCUACCCGCUGAAUUUAAGCAUAUCAAUAGCGGAGG